rnacentral:rRNA from 1 species
UUCGUAGGCGGUUUUUCGCGUCGGAUGUGAAAACUCAGGGCUCAACCCUGAGCCUGCAUUCGAUACGGGAAGACUCGAGGACGGCAGGGGAGACUGGAACUUCUGGUGUAGCGGUGGAAUGCGCAGAUAUCAGAAAGAACACCAAUGGCGAAGGCAGGUCUCUGGGCCGAUCCUGACGCUGAGGAACGAAGCGUGGGGAGCAAACA